rnacentral:rRNA from 1 species
AGAAGAUGGUAAGGGCAAACGGUGGAUGCCUUGGCACAAGAAGCCGAUGAAGGACGUGAUAAGCUGCGAUAAGCCACGGUAAGGAGCACAUAUCCUGUGACCCGUGGAUUUCCGAAUGGGUAAACCCACCAAGAGUCAUUUCUUGGUACUUCCUGCUGAAUAUAUAGGCAGGAUAGAGGUAACCGGGGGAACUGAAACAUCUAAGUACCCCGAGGAAGAGAAAUCAAACGAGAUUCCCCUAGUAGUGGCGAGCGAACGGGGAUAUAGGACAAACCGUCAGUUGCGCAAGCGCUGGCGGGGUUGUAGGACCAUUCAUUGUGGAGUUACAAAACUUCGUGGAAGCAGAAUAGCUUGGAAAAGCUGGCGAGACAGGGUAAAAGCCCCGUACGCGAAUCCGCGAAGACUCCCGAGUGGCACCUGAGUACUGCCGGACACGUGAAACCCGGUGGGAACCUGGGGGGUCCACCCUCCAAUCCUAAAUACUCUCUUGUGACCGAUAGUGAACCAGUACCGUGAGGGAAAGGUGAAAAGCACCCCUAGCGGGGAGUGAAAUAGUACCUGAAACCGUUUGCCUACAAGCAGUCGGAGCAGACUUUUGUCUGUGACGGCGUGCCUUUUGUAGAAUGAGCCAGCGAGUUACGGCAUGU